rnacentral:rRNA from 2 species
CAAGUCGAACGAGAAGCUAACUUCUGAUUCCUUCGGGAUGAUGAGGUUAGCAGAAAGUGGCGAACGGGUGAGUAACGCGUGGGUAAUCUACCCUGUUAAGUGGGGGAUAACCCUCCGAAAGGAGGGCUAAUACCGCAUAAUAUCUUUAUCCCAAAGGAGGUAAAGAUUAAAGAUGGCCUCUAUACUAUGCUAUCACUUCAGGAUGAGCCUGCGUCCUAUUAGUUAGUUGGUGGGGUAAUGGCCUACCAAGACCACAAUGGGUAGCCGGUCUGAGAGGAUGUACGGCCACACUGGGACUGAGAUACGGCCCAGACUCCUACGGGAGGCAGCAGUGGGGAAUAUUGCGCAAUGGGGGAAACCCUGACGCAGCGACGCCGCGUGGAUGAUGAAGGCCCUUGGGUUGUAAAAUCCUGUUCUGGGGGAAGAAAGCUUAAAGGUCCAAUAAACCCUUAAGCCUGACGGUACCCCAAGAGAAAGCUCCGGCUAAUUAUGUGCCAGCAGCCGCGGUAAUACAUAAGGAGCAAGCGUUAUCCGGAAUUAUUGGGCGUAAAGAGCUCGUAGGCGGUCUUAAAAGUC